AAGAGAGCGACAUUUAUUUGUAAACAAUAGGAAAAUAUAGAUGCCUUGCAGGAACAUGGCGAGUUCAUGAACGGUGGAGUAUUCUGGCGACGACAGAGUAAAGCUGUUGGGUCGAAAACAGCUGGCGACCUUUGGCAGAUUUUGUUGCUGCAAGGUUUUGCGAAACGAUCCGUUUUGCAUUUUUGUUGGUGUUGCUGCCCGACCGGGUUUGCUUGCAGGUGCAGGCGCUAGCAGAGGACGAGAUGGACUAGAUGAUUGCCAAGAUGCUGCACGAGGACUCGCAGGCGGUGCUGCUGCUGGCUGACAUGGAUUAACGGAUGGACGAGCUGCAGACGGACUAGCUUGACAAGAUGCUGGACGACGUAGAUGAGACGAUGCAUACGACGUUGGACAAGGAGCUGCUGUUUGCUGUAGUGUAUUUUCAGGUACUGGUGCAUUAGAUGAGCGGAAAUCUGGACAGGUCGACUGGCGAGGUGGUGCAGACGUUUGCUGGUGGACUUCAGGUAAGUUUUUGUUAGCGUUAGAUUGCAUAUUCAUUGUGUCAUGCCCAAAUUUUCUUUCCUUUUCAUGAUUCA